rnacentral:tRNA from 1 species
ACCUGGCUGGCUUAGUCAAUACAGCAUGUGACUCUUAAUCUCAGUGCUGUGAGUUUGAAUCCAUGCUGGGUG